UUUCUUCGCACCUACAUGGCAGGGCGCGGCCGCUUUAUAGCGGGGCGCACGCUAGAACCACUGUAUGCGUGGAAUAUACCAAUUGCUGGGGAUCCGCUGGAUCAACCUCCAAGGAGUCGCUCACCCGUCCUGCGCCAAGGUGGCAUUCACCUCCGUUCGAUUUCCCCAGCUUCAGAGCGGACCAUUGAGUCACGAGAGAUCAGGAUGUCGCUGAUUAACGCCAGAGUCUCACUGAUCCAUCUGGCUUCAACACAGGCACUACAGGAGCUGCCCACUCUGAAAACUUGUUCAAUUAUACGCAAAAGCCAAGUUCCAACUCAGCAAGCCAUGAUCUUCCCAACAAGUUAGGACCAGAUCCUGCCACCACCACAACUG